GCCCUUAGAGUUUGAUCAUGGCUCAGGAUGAACGCUGGCGGCGUGCCUAACACAUGCAAGUCGAACGAAGCCCUCGGGCUUAGUGGCGGACGGGUGAGUAACGCGUGAGAAUCUCCCUUCAGGAUGGGGACAACCGUUGGAAACGACGGCUAAUCCCCAAUGUGCCGAAAGGUGAAAAGGGUUUCCGCCUGAAGAAGAGCUCGCGUCCGAUUAGUUAGUUGGUGAGGUAAGAGCUUACCAAGGCAGCGAUCGGUAGCUGGUCUGAGAGGAUGAGCAGCCACACUGGGACUGAGACACGGCCCAGACUCCUACGGGAGGCAGCAGUGGGGAAUUUUCCGCAAUGGGCGAAAGCCUGACGGAGCAACGCCGCGUGCGGGAAGAAGGCUCUUGGGCUGUCAACCACUUUUCUCAGGGAAGAAGACCUGACGGUACCUGAGGAAUCAGCCUCGGCUAACUCCGUGCCGGCAGCCGCGGUAAUACGGAGGAGGCAAGCGUUAUCCGGAAUUAUUGGGCGUAAAGCGUCCGCAGGGGGCGCAUCAAGUCUGCUGUUAAAGGUCGGAGCUUAACUCCGGUAGAGCAGUGGAAACUGGUGCGCUAGAGGGCGACAGGGGUAGAGGGAAUUCCCAGUGUAGCGGUGAAAUGCGUAGAGAUUGGGAAGAACACCGGUGGCGAAAGCGCUCUACUGGGUCGCACCUGACCCUCAGGGACGAAAGCUAAGGUAGCGAAAGGGAUUAGAUACCCCUGUAGUCUUAGCCGUAAACGAUGGAUACUAGGCGUGGCUUGUAUCGACCCAAGCCGUGCCGAAGCUAACGCGUUAAGUAUCCCGCCUGGGGAGUACGCACGCAAGUGUGAAACUCAA
rnacentral:rRNA from 1 species